GGCGUUGUGGCGGAGUGGUUAACGCGGUUGACUCGAAUGGUCUUUCACUCGAAAGGGAUUCAGAUAUCAACUUCCUUCGGGAGCGCAUGUUCGAAUCAUGUCAACGUCG
rnacentral:tRNA from 2 species